UCUUCAUCCGUCUCUCGCUCGCCUCUUUCUGGCCACCAACAACGAAUUAAACGCGCUUUAAUGAGACGAUUUUCCAGUCACCUUUCGAGACGCGCAGACUCGAGAGAACGGACGCUUAACGAGCGUGCGUGCAUGAAGUCGAAAAAUAAAGAGGCCAUCGAAGAAAAAAGGGACAACCGAAGGAGGCACAGGGUGGAUGCAGAGAAAAAAAGAAUAAAGUGGAUGAAAAGAGAAGAGACAAGAGAGAGGGUCGAGAGUCUAAGUUGGAAGCUUCUGGAGGACGUGGAACGCCUUGGGACCCCGAAGGGACGAUCGGCUCCAACGACGGAGGAGAACAACGAAAUAGGAAGAGAACAGACCCGUUAUCUUUACUGCUCAAUCUUUUUCGCAAAACUACGAACUAGAGGGUGGCCGUGCAGCCGAUAAGAGAUAACGGGAGCCAGAAUCCAAAGCCGAGCUUUCUGUGGUUUUAUUUACCGAGUCAAUGCUCCAGCAUGGGCUAUCCUGGAAGCCAGUUUACGUGCAUUUCGAGUGCCUCCGUCACAUUCCGCGUGACAAGCACGGUGUUGGAAGAAGCGUGAAGCCGGAAGUGGCUCGAGAACUAAAGGGGAGGGAAGGAGAUAGAGAGGGAAUCGCCGUGACCCGUUCCCGGCUAUACGAACGAAGGUACUACGAACGUUAGUCCAACUAUUGGAGAUGCAUUGAGUCAUCCGCGGGAAUGGGAUGAUUGUGAGAAGACUGGUAGAGCGCCGGAAGAUGCUGCAAGUGACGUAAUGGGUUGAUUGAGCGAAUUUUUUCAGUUAACGUAAGAAAUUUGUGGAAUUUUAAGGGGAAAAUAAAUAUAUAUUUUAAUAUGGACUUU